GUGAAUCAUCGAAUUUUUGAACGCAAAUUGCACUUUCUUGUAUUCGUGAAAGUGUGCCUGUUUGAGGGUCAGUUAAAUAAAAAUAGGUGCUGUUGCUGCUUUUCGUGGUGAGGCGUUUGAAUUGAGUUGUCUCACCUUCGGUUAAGCGACUUAAAAUUUUCCAUGCGUUUCGACCGUAGUUUAUUUUCUUACGUACGUUUGAUAUAG
rnacentral:misc_RNA from 1 species